CAGAUUCGUGGUAACCAUGACUACCUGAGAAAGAAAAGGAGAGCCUCACACUCUAGGAGCUCAGAUGCAACAAUUUAAUAAUAACCAACGUUUCGACAGACAAGCUGUCUUCAUCAGGGUAUAUUGACAAACACUGCAGGUUACUCAUUUAUAUAAUUUGGAAGGACACACAGGUGGCUGUAAUUAUGGCUGGGUGUGGCUUGAUGUCACUGGUUGUUUUUGAGAUAUAAAUAGAACAUAUAAAAAGCAUGCCUGGAUAACAUACGAUCAUGAUGUCACGUUCUUCGUUGGGCGAAAGAGAGGAGGACCAAGAUGCAGCGUGAUGUGCAGGUGACGUUUCCACCUGGAUGACGGCAUAUAAUCAGCAAGACGGAGAUGCUCUUCAUCCGAGGAAACGCCUGCCCGUUCUCAGAUGUUAGAUAAUACGAGACGAUCACAUGUCAUUUACAUUCCAGCCCGUGUCAGCUCCAGAUCAUUCCUGAGAGAGAAGGGGUGUAGUAUCUCCAGAUGGGCGUGUGGUACCCUUCCUCAGCCAUGCCAACAAGAUGUUACUUCUUGUGGGGUCUUUGCCUUGAAAUUUGCUGAAUGUGUUCUGAAGGAGGAGUCGAUUGUCUUUUCAAAUACGGACAAAGAUGUUAACAUCAUGAGAGAAGAAAUAGCAGUCACUCUCCUCCAAAAACACUGAUGACCUGAGCCGACUGUGCCACUUCUGUGGGGAGGUGGACAAUAAUGAGGAAGACACUAAUUGGGAUUGGUUGUGACCGCUGCCCACGAUGGUUCAACCAGACCUGUAUGAAAUCCAUCCCAUCAUUGGAGGAUUAUGUCUGCGCUGCCUGUCCGGACUAGGUUAGGCUUGAGUUCCAGGCAACGGUAUCACCUGGAAAACUUCCCAUAAAAAGUGGACUAAAUGUUCAGUCGAGCUGUUGCAGCUUUCCAAUAUUUGUUUAUGUUAUAUAUUGUCUUUUUAUAUUUGAUUUAUUGUCAUUUUACAUCUUAUUAUGCAAAGAUCGAAAGGUGUAUUUCUUAUUUCAUGUUUGUUAACAAACUGAACUUUCUGUGAUGUUUUUGU